rnacentral:rRNA from 1 species
AUUGAACGCUGGCGGCAUGCUUUACACAUGCAAGUCGAACGGCAGCACAGGGAGCUUGCUCCUGGGUGGCGAGUGGCGAACGGGUGAGUAAUGUAUCGGAACGUGCCUGGUAGUGGGGGAUAACUACUCGAAAGAGUGGCUAAUACCGCAUGAGAUCUUUGGAUGAAAGCGGGGGACCUUCGGGCCUCGUGCUACUGGAGCGGCCGAUAUCAGAUUAGGUUGUUGGUGGGGUAAAGGCCUACCAAGCCUGCGAUCUGUAGCUGGUCUGAGAGGACGACCAGCCACACUGGGACUGAGACACGGCCCAGACUCCUACGGGAGGCAGCAGUGGGGAAUUUUGGACAAUGGGCGCAAGCCUGACCAGCAAUGCCGCGUGCAGGACGAAGGCCUUCGGGUUGUAAACUGCUUUUGUACAGAACGAAAAGUCUCUGGCUAAUAUCUAGAGAUCAUGACGGUACUGUAAGAAUAAGCACCGGCUAACUACGUG